UACCACCCUCUCUUUCCCUCUCUCUCUUGACCCGAGCUCCUUCUUUAUCUCUUACUCUCUCUCUCCUGGGCCUAGCUCUUUCCCUCUCACUCUUCAAAGGACUGAAGGCCCACCCUCUCUCGUAGUGAAACAGCUCGGGCUCUCAAUUUAUUCACCCCAGCCCAAGCCCCCAAAGCCCGAGCUCAAUUUUUAGCUCAAUCUCUCAACCCCAAAUCAGCCCCAUCAAAGGUGUGAAAGAGUUUUUAAAUUAUUUCUUAUUAAAUAAAUAUAUAACAAAUUUAUGGAAGAGAACGCUAAAAUAUGUUGUUGGGUUAUUGUUUGUCAAAAUUUAUUGUAUUUGAUCUAUCAUUGACAAUGAUGGGAUGGAUUGCUCAUGGCUUAAGAAUUAUUGAAGUUUUUCUUAGGAAUUUAUUGUGGGGUUUGGCUUUUUUUUCCCUAUUGUCAUUUUAGGGCUAGAAUGUCUUGGUGGUAGGAAAUUUUGGGAUUUUUUUAGAUUGAAAAUCAUUCAGUCGUUUGAUUUCAAUUGAUCGCUCAUGGCUUAAGAAUUAUUGAAGCUUUUCAUUUAAAUUGUUAUGGAGUUUGGACUUUUUCUCUAUUGUCUAUUAUUAUUUUAGGGCUAGAAUGUUCUUGAUGGUAGAAAAUUUUGGGUUUUUUUUAGAUUGAAAAUCAUUCAGUCAUUUGAUCUCAAUUGAUUGCCCAUGGCUUAAGAAUUAUUAUAGUUUUUCUUAUUAAAUUGUUAUGGACUUGUCAUAUUUUUCUCUAUUGCGAUUUUAAGGGUUGAAUGUUCUUGAAUGUAGUAAAGUUUGGAUUUGUUUUGCUGUAUAUGUUUUCUCAUGGUUUUCUUUACAUCAAUUGUUUCUUAUUUGAUGAUCCAUCUUCUUUCUCUUGUUCAAAUUUAGUUUGUUAUUAAAAAAAAAAUGCCUAGCUCUUGUUAAUUUUUAGUAGUAGCUCUUUAUAAAAUACAAAACCCAAAAAACAGACUUUAGGAUGGUCUAUAUUGCUAGUUGUAUAUAUUGUGCUUAUCUAUGUUGUUAGAUUGAACUAUACCUUAGAGAAAUGGUAUUGCUUAGCUGUGGCAUAGAGAAAUAGUAUUGUUUAUAUAUUAAAAAAAACCCAUGCUCCCCCCGUCGCAGUUGCACUCCCAUGUAUAAUCCUCCACAGGCCAUGAUGAUAUAUAUAUAUAUAUAUAUGUAAUUAUAAAAAAUAAAACUAUGGUCCAUUUUGUUUUUUUUAUUGUUUACUUGCAAUGACAUACCUGUAUAGAGAUGCCACAAGCUGCACCUAAUAGUGAAGUAUUAGUCGGGGAAUCCAUGCGUUAUAUACAGGAGGCUCGUGAUUUGAUAUUGAAUAACCCUUCUAUAGAGAUAGGUGCCGAGGAGACAACGCAGGCUAGGAGUGGAGAAGUGGAAAGUGAGCAAGGAGGACGAUGAUGUGAAAGCGAAGAAGAUGUUGAAGGUCACGAUAAUGGUGAGAGCGAUGAUGAAAAUGAGAUAAGAACAAAGAAAAAAGUUGAUCACUUUCAAGCGUCGGCAUUGCAAGAGGAAUGGAGGUAUAAUUUGCGAUCGCGAAGAGAUGGGAAUGCCCAGGAGGGAAGGACUAUGGAGGAACCCGAUGUGAGGGGAAAUUGUGCUUUUAGUUUGGCCAAAAAAAGGGUGGAGAAAUUGACCUUUUAUUUUUUAGUUUGAUAUGUAUAUUUGAAACAGAUGUUAAGUAAAGAAUAUGGUUGAUAUUUAUUUUAAAGCGACGUUUCAUAUGUAUUUUUGGAUUUGAUCAGUAUAUUUGAAAUAGAUGUUAAGUAAUGAUAUGGUUGAUAUAUAUUUUGAUGUUGAGUUUGACAUGUAUUUUUAGAUUUCAUAUGAAUGUUCAAAACAGAUGUUAAAUA
rnacentral:lncRNA from 1 species